GCCCAGAUAGCUCAGUCGGUAGAGCAGUGGAUUGAAAAUCCUCGUGUCGGUGGUUCGAUUCCGCCUCUGGGCACCA
rnacentral:tRNA from 16 species